UACGGGGGGAGCAAGGGUUGUUCGGAUUUACUGGGCGUAAAGGGCGCGUAGGCGGUCAGCACAAGUCAGUUGUGAAAUCUCCGAGCUUAACUCGGAAAGGUCAACUGAUACUGUGCGACUAGAGUGCGGAAGGGGCAACUGGAAUUCUUGGUGUAGCGGUGAAAUGCGUAGAUAUCAAGAGGAACACCUGCGGCGAAGGCGGGUUGCUGGGCCGACACUGACGCUGAAGCGCGAAAGCCAGGGGAGCGAACGGG
rnacentral:rRNA from 1 species